GACGAACGCUGGCGGCGUGCCUAACACAUGCAAGUCGAGCGGAGAUAUAUUGAAGAUUUAUCGGAUAUAUAUCUUAGCGGCGGACGGGUGAGUAACGCGUGGGUAACCUGCCUUAUACAGGGGGAUAACACAGGGAAACUUGUGCUAAUACCGCAUAAUAUCAUUGUAUGGCAUCAUAUGAUGAUCAAAGGAGCAAUCCGGUAUAAGAUGGACCCGCGUCCAAUUAGCUAGUUGGUGGUGUAACGGACCACCAAGGCGACGAUUGGUAGCCGAACUGAGAGGUUGAUCGGCCACAUUGGGACUGAGACACGGCCCAGACUCCUACGGGAGGCAGCAGUGGGGAAUAUUGCACAAUGGGGGAAACCCUGAUGCAGCAACGCCGCGUGAAGGAUGAAGGUUUUCGGAUCGUAAACUUCUUUGAUGAGGGACGAAUAAUGACGGUACCUCAAGAACAAGCCACGGCUAACUACGUGCCAGCAGCCGCGGU
rnacentral:rRNA from 1 species